AACGAACGCUGGCGGUAUGCCUAACACAUGCAAGUCGCACGAGAAAGUACUUCGGUAUGAGUAGAGUGGCGCACGGGUGAGUAACACGUAGGUGACCUUCCGAAUAGUGGGGGAUAACUCGGAGAAAUCCGGGCUAAUACCGCAUAUGUACGACAAAUCUGAGAGUAGUCGUAGAAAGAAUGCCUCUACUUGUAAGCAUUCGCUAAUCGAUGGGCCUGCGGAGCAUUAGCUAGUUGGUGGGGUAAUGGCCUACCAAGGCUACGAUGCUUAACGGAUCUGAGAGGAUGAUCCGUCACACUGGAACUGAGACACGGUCCAGACUCCUACGGGAGGCAGCAGUGGGGAAUAUUGCGCAAUGGACGCAAGUCUGACGCAGCAAUACCGCGUGAGUGAGGAAGGCCU
rnacentral:rRNA from 1 species